AACCAAUAUGACUAUUUGGUUACAUUUGGCUUUUGUUGCUUAGUUUAUUCUUACAUAGAUGGGCAGCUGGAUGUUAGGGAAAAACAGGGACAGGAAAGAGACUCCAUCCAGUGGCUCUCUGAAGAUUCACCCUUGUUAUCAGUCACUUGGGAUUCUGUUAUCAGAAUUUGGGAUUGCUUGUUAUCACAGCAUUACCUAGUCUACCCUGACUAAUACAAGGGCACUUUGAGAAUCUGAUGGAAGCUCAGGCCACAAGAAAACUGCACAUUCAUGCAAAAUUCAGAACCUUUCAAUUUUAAUGUCUUGAGAUUUCGUUGUGUUUCUAAGAUCCUUGAUGUCCCACAGCCUCCUCUUCUCAGCCUUGGAAUCUGAGGCACCUGGGUUGUAAGUGAUGCUAUGUCAGUGUUCACAAAGGCUCACAAGUCUGCGAAGUGGCCAAGAUGAGCUGACCCUGUCACCAUGGAGCAAGGCCUAUGUGUGCAAAUGAGUCAUGAGCUGAGAGGAAAGAGCUUGAGCCUGAGCUUUUUUUUUUCUUUUCUUUUCUUUUCUUUUUAUGAUGAUUGCUUGAGCCUGAGCUUGUUUGCCAGAUGCUUUCACUAGCCCAAGCUUGUUUUGUGGAUGCUUUCUGCUGCCAGCUACUUUGUAGUCCCUCCUGUGUGACAGCAUCUUGCCAUCAACGGGCUGCAGAAGAAGGGGUGCUUGUUGCUAUUGUGAGCAAACACUGCAUAAACAAUCAGCUCACAUGUGUGUCCCAGAGCGUAUGACCAAUGACCUGGAGAACUCUCAGGCUGUGGGGUGGAGAGAAGGCCAUUCUGAGGUCAACUGAAACCUCACUUGAGGGGCAGUUCCGUAGAUGGGAAUGAGGAGAGAGUCAUGGCCACAGCCACCUGGCCAAGGAGAGAGGCCAUAACUGCCAGACAGAACCAAGGAUGGAGGGACUUCAGCAGCACGAACAAUCCACACUCAGCAUGGGUCACUCUCUGGGACACACAUUUCCCUCUGGCUGAAAGGCUGAGCUGCUCCAGGGCCAACUGUGAGGUCAGACAGCUGCCCAGGGAUGUCUCCAGCCACUCAAGGGAAGAAGAGACCACUCACCUGUAAUUUCAACAGCAACAAAAGACCUGAGGUUCCACCAUCAGAACUUCACGCCCUAAGGAAGAUGCAGCAUUUCCUGUAAAAUGCAAGUGCUCCCAGGCAGAGGUAGCUCCCGAAGCCAUGAUCAGUUAUGUAUACCUUAGUGGCAGCUGAUUAACAGACUCUUCCCCAGAGCCAGCUGACAGGAAGCACAUCGGGGUAAAAGGGAAGAUGAAAACUUGGGUGCCUGGAGGAAGGGAACAAAUGCGAGCAGGAGCAUGGUAAUAACAUAGAAACCCUGGGCCCCUUCCCCAGCUGUCAUGAAGGUGCCUGAGUGAUGGUCAGAGAGAUGACCGGAGGGGCCCACCCGGCCACCGCAGCAGCAGCAGCCAAGGCGGGACUAAGCCUCCACACCCCACAUCUCAGUCGUGGCCAGCCCGGGAUGCCUGCCUCUCCUGCCCUGUGGUGUUGCUGUCCUCAUAUGACCCUUCAGUCCCCCGACAUCUGGACAGGCUUUAGGGACCUGCUUGAGCAGAACAUGGUAGAAGUGAUGGACUGGGGCUUCUGAGGCUAAGCCAUAAGAAGCCUUGAGAAUUUCACCUGGCCCUCACUGUCUCUGGGAGCCCUGAGCCAUGAUAGAAGAAGUCCUUCCUAUAUUGAAUGUCCUUGAGACCUCCAGUACUGGAAAGGGCAUUUGUAGAUGCUCAGACCAACAGUCCAAACUGAGCCCAGUCUGCCAACUUGCCCUGCCAAGGUGUCAGAUGCAUAUGUGAAUGAGACCAUCCUAGACCUGCUGAUAGCCCAUCACCCGGCUGACUGCUACUGAGUAACCUCUGCCAACUUCACGCCGAACACAGAACUGCUGAUUUGAACUCUGCCUGAAUUUCUUGGCCCACAGAACAAUGAGAUAUAAUUAAAAGGCAAUGGUUCAAGCCA
rnacentral:lncRNA from 1 species